rnacentral:rRNA from 1 species
UACGGGGGGGGCAAGCGUUGUUCGGAAUUACUGGGCGUAAAGGGCUCGUGGGCGGCCAGCUAAGUCGGAUGUGAAAUCCCCAGGCUUAACCUGGGAACUGCAUCCGAUACUGGAUGGCUUGAAUCCGGGAGAGGGAUGCAGAAUUCCAGGUGUAGCGGUGAAAUGCGUAGAUAUCUGGAGGAACACCGGUGGCGAAGGCGGCAUCCUGGACCGGCAUUGACGCUGAGGCGCGAAAGCCAGGGGAGCGAACGGG